UCGAAAUGCUCACCUAUACUUUAGGGGAAAAAAACCCACAACAUUUUGCAAAAAUGGAAUAAAUGAUCAUUCAAAGCAAAAGCAUGCAGUUCAAAAGCUAAACCUCCCAUUGGAGAACAGAAAAUUUAAUGAGCUUUUAAUGGAAUGCAAUGCUCAGAGUAGUAAAUUAUUUGUUAGUUGACGAUGCAAUCAGCAUGCUGAUUAAGGUUGCUUGGUUUUUUACUAAACAUUAACUGAAUGAAAACGGGUAGCCCUUGUUCUGCUUGGGGGGCUUUAAGGAAGCAAAUGGACUUUCAGAACAGAGAUUGUCAAUAAAGUGUAUGGAGCCCAGUGUUUGGCUGAAAGGAGAAGGCAGCAGCCAGAAGCAACCGAAAGGACCAGGAAGGAAACCUGCCCCAGUCUCACGGGCUUCUUUGCUGGCCACACCUGCCAUUCGUUAUAUGGAUACGAUGUGUUUAACACUGACUUAAAAAAGAGCUGUCACACUUCUGAAAACUCUAAGAUAAGCCAAACUCUUUCCUUUAGACCAUAUCCUCCGCCGUGCUGGCCCGGAAGAAGGAAUGAAGUGAGAAAUAUGUGAUGCAUGGUACAACCGAACAGAAGGAGGCCUUUUCAAAGACACCGACCUGUGAGGGACCUGGUUGUGGCUGCAUCCACUCCAGGAACCAGAAUACACUCUGCGGAUAUGGUGGACUCUACCUGAUUUAGUCAUUUUUCCUUAACAACACCUAAAGACAAUGCUUAAGACACUUAAUCCGAAAGCAAGCAAAACAACAUGGCAAAUGGAGCCCGAUGGUGCAGCCAGAGGAACCCUGAGGCUGGAGUUCUGGGGCUCAGGGUGUGAUACUCAGAAAAAUAAUUUGCCUCUCUGCAUUUCAACAUGUGUUCCUAAGUGGAGAGCUAAGCUUUCUGAGACUACACAUAUGCAUGCAAGAGCACUGCAUCUAUCCUCUAGACAGAAGUCUUUAACAUCACUCUGUCAAAGGGUGUUUUAUCUCAGCAAUGAGAGAAAAGUACCCAAGACACAUGGCCUAGAAGAAAAAAUUUUUUCAAGACUCAAGAAGUCUGAGGAUGGAUAAUCCAGAAUGGAUUUUUACUGAAUGAGAAAGCAAUAUUGCAAAUAUUGCUAUUAAUUCAAACACAUGGCACAGGAGUCAUGAAUACCACAGUAAGCACCUAUAGGGGGCGUUCAUUAUUUCUUUAUUAGUGCAUGUUUGUGGUAUAUAAUGUUUACAUUAUUUGUGGGGAAUUGGUACAUGUUCACAAUAGAUCUUAGUUCCGUUUUAAAUCUCCUUUCCCAUCAUCCUUUCUUUCCCCUCUAUGCAUCUCUGGCCAUUAGAGAAAUGCAAAGUAAAACAGCACUGAGAUUCCAUCUUAACCCAGAAAGAAUGGCUACCAUCAAGAAAUCAGAUAAUAACUAAUGCUGGCAGGGAUGUGGGGGGAAAGGGAGCUACCUACAUUAUUGAUUGGAAUGUAAACUAAUACAACCACUUUGGAAAUCAGUAUAGAGAUUCCUAAAAAAUCUGAAACUAGAAACUCCAUUUGACCAAGCUGUUCUCCUAAGUAUCUUCCUGAAAGAAUUAAAGUCAUCAUGUUACAGAGAUACAUGCAUAACAUUUUUAUAGCAGCAGAAUUCAUAAUAGCUGAAUGUCUAUCAACAUAUGUCUAUCAACAGAUGAAUAGAUAAGAAAACAUAUUUACACACCCUGGAGUGCUACUCUGCCAUAAAGACAAAGUGGAGUCAUUUGCAGGAAAAUGGAUGCACCUUGAGACCAUAAUGUUAAGUGAAAUAAAUCAGACACACAAGCUUAAACAUCACAUAGUUUCUCUUAUAUAAGAAACCCAAAGAAUAAACAAAAGGCAAAAUAAAAGAUAGAUGAUCAGAAGCAGGGAGAUAGAUCUUCCUCAAAUGAGAAGAGGAUGAAGAGAUGCAGAGAAGGGGAGGGAGGAGAGGGAAAGAGGAUGAAAAACUAACGAAGAUGUGUUCUGUUCUGGUUCCAACUCCACACAAGGAAUGGAAACAUCAUGUAUUGCAGACAUGUAUAAAAAUUUUUUAAAUUUUAUAAAAUUAAAAAAAUUUUUUUUGUUAAGAAACAAAAAUCCUCAAAAAGAAAGAAGUCCUUUAAGAAUACCAAAUAUUGGGGCUGGGGAUUUAGCUCAGUGGUUCCGGCGCCUGCUGUGCAAGUACAAGGACCCGAGUUCGAUCCUCGGUACCCAAAAGAAAAAAAAAAGAAUACCGAAAAUGCUCCUUUUCUAGUCUCGAUAAGUGAGAAAACCAAGGGAGAAACGUGCUGAGAAUGGGUUUGGGGAAGCUAUUGAACAUCUACAGUGUUGGCUAUAGGAAGCUACUGGUCACCCCCAGUUGGGUCUGAUGACAGAGAGCGCCUUCUACUUCUGUUGCUUAUGCCUGUGACACCACAUUCUUGAUUUCUGGAGCUGAGAUAAUUAUAGUACUAAUUUCCUAAAGUUCUUAUAUGUUCAUUUUGUGAGCUAGGGAAUGGAAAGUGCUCAACACAAUGUCUGGCACAUAGCAGGCUUUAAUUAAUAUGGGCAACUGUAGAAGUGCCCAGGAAUUACUGACGUUAUGCUCAGCUCAUACUUCUCUUUGACUAAGGAGAGUGAGCCCAUUAACAUUGUCUGUAUAGUGCCUUUAACUUUUCAAAAACAGUGUUUGUCCAAGGAAUUCCCACCUCGAGCUCUGGCGAUGUCCUCCAAAAAAGUGUGGGUGGAACCGACCCCACAUCGCAGGCCUGGGGGGGACCCCUGCAGCUGACCCGGGGCAGAGCUGCUCAGGCCGGAAGUGGAUAGACACCCAGCUGUGCCCUGAGAGGGGCCGCCAGGAUUCCAGGCAAGGUCUUUAUUGCUGAAACUCUUGCAUAAUGACAUCUUUAUUCAUGUGAAAGCGCAGUGUGGAAUUCCACUGUAUGAAAUUGUUUAUGUUCAUCAGAAAUGUUAUUUGUCUUUACAAAGUCUGGUUUCAAUGAACCUGCUCUGUAAUGGAUAUUAAAUAAACAUGGAAUUUUACACGUUCAUAAUAUUUGGUUUCUUGUUGUGAUUUUGAUGAACUACGCUUUCAAGCAUUGUCAGUUCAUCCUUAUUUACAAAGAACCAUUUGCUUGUAGCAGAGUGAUGUAGUGACUUGCUCUAUUUUAAGAUAAAGUCAACUUUUCUAUUCAAUGUUUAAUGUGAAACUCAGAAAUAUUCUUUUAGGUCACAUUUACAUCUCUGUCUGUAUAACAUGCACUAUAUUAUUUUAACUAAUACUGUGAGCUAUAUAAACCAAAGACAUUCUAAUUCUGCUUUUAAUGUAUUUUUUGUAAGAUAAAUAAUUUAUAAUGCACUAAUAAAACUAAGGAGCUCAUGUUAAAACUUGUUAUAUGACCUACUGAAAUUGAUCUAUAGAAACUGACUCUCUUAAAAAUAAUUUCAUAAAAUUAUUUUGUAUAAAAUUGACUUCUUUGUAUGAAUUCUUGACAAGUAUAAAACAAAACUUUGAAACUCCGUUUCCAUCUUUCUACACAUUGAAAAGAAGUAAUUGAAUACUUUCUAAGUCUGUGAUUUUUCUGUCUCUGGGAAAAAGAAACCAGAUUAAUCGUGAACACUUGACUUGCACCAGUUUAUGGUCACCUAUUUAAAAUAUGAAAUUCCAAUUUCCAAUGAUGAAUGUCCUUAUAUUGCAUACCUAAAAUGUACCAAUGAUUAGAAUGAAUAAUCGAUAAAGCAAAAUAGGAAGAAAAGGUCCAAAGGUGUAGGGAAUAGUGGGAGAGGCAGGGGAAAGGAAAGAAGGGAAAGGAAAAAUGAUGAGAAAUGGAAAAAAUGGAAAUAAAGUCUUCGUAAAUAGGGAAGGGUGGAGGACGUGAAGGGAGGACUAGGAAUGGGGAAAAAAUAAGAACCAAGAUGCAUCAUGUAAAGGUACAAGUUCCCAAUGAGAAAUGUAAUUGUGUUGUAUACCUACAAUGUACC
ensembl:lncRNA